rnacentral:snoRNA from 1 species
AAACCAUGGUGUAGACAGCUCCUUAGUAAAUCCUUGAAACGUUCCCAACAAUCAUACAAAGUCUCGCUCUUUUGCUGAAGAAAUCCUGCUAUAUCAUUCCUCAACUU